CCCUUAAAUGUUCUGGGCCGCACGCGUGCUACACUGAGUGGAUCAGCGGGUCAGGUUGCGCGAAAGUGUUUCCUAAUCUUGAAAUCCGCUCGUGAUGGGGAUUGACGGUUGCAAUUUUCCGUCAUGAACGAGGAAUACCUUGUAAGCGCGGGUCAUCAUCCCGCGCUGAAUACGUCCCUGCCCUUUGUACACACCGCCCGUCGCUCCUACCGAUUGAGUGGUCCGGUGAGGCUUUGGGAUCUGAGCGGAAAGAGCGUUUCGCUGUUUCUGCUCGGAAAACUCAGUCGAACCUUAUCAUUUAGAGGAAGGAGAAGUCGUAACA
rnacentral:rRNA from 1 species